rnacentral:rRNA from 1 species
AUUGAACGCUGGCGGCAUGCCUUACACAUGCAAGUCGAACGGUAACAGGUUAAGCUGACGAGUGGCGAACGGGUGAGUAAUAUAUCGGAACGUGCCCAGUCGUGGGGGAUAACGUAGCGAAAGCUACGCUAAUACCGCAUACGAUCUACGGAUGAAAGCGGGGGAUCGCAAGACCUCGCGCGAUUGGAGCGGCCGAUAUCAGAUUAGGUUGUUGGUGAGGUAAAAGCUCACCAAGGCUACGAUCUGUAGCGGGUCUGAGAGGAUGAUCCGCCACACUGGGACUGAGACACGGCCCAGACUCCUACGGGAGGCAGCAGUGGGGAAUUUUGGACAAUGGGGGCAACCCUGAUCCAGCCAUGCCGCGUGAGUGAAGAAGGCCUUCGGGUUGUAAAGCUCUUUCAGCCGGGAAGAAAUCGCACAGGCUAAUAUCCUGUGUGGAUGACGGUACCGGAAUAAGAAGCACCGGCUAACUACGUGCCAGCCGCCGCCGUAA